rnacentral:rRNA from 1 species
UUGGAGGGCAAGUCUGGUGCCAGCAGCCGCGGUAAUUCCAGCUCCAAUAGCGUAUAUUUAAGUUGUUGCAGUUAAAAAGCUCGUAGUUGAAUUUCGGGGUCAGCAGGUUGGUCGUGCCAAUGGUAUGAACUGGCCUUGCUGAUUCCUCCCUCUUGAUGAGCCGUAAUGCCAUUAAUUUGGUGUUGCGGGGAAUCAGGACUGUUACUUUGAAAAAAUUAGAGUGUUUAAAGCAGGCAAGCGCUUGAAUACAUUAGCAUGGAAUAAUGAAAUAGGACGUUUGAUCCUAUUUUGUUGGUUUCUAGGAUUGACGUAAUGAUUAAUAGGGAUAGUUGGGGGCAUUAGUAUUCAAUUGUCAGAGGUGAAAUUCUUGGAUUUAUUGAAGACUGACUACUGCGAAAGCAUUUGCCAAGGAUGUUUUCAUUAAUCAAGAACGAAGGUUAGGGGAUCGAAGACGAUCAGAUACCGUCGUAGUCUUAACCAUAAACUAUGCCGACUAGGGAUCGGAUGAUGUUAAUUUUUUAAUGACUCAUUCGGCGCCUUACGGGAAAC